GAUGAACGCUGGCGGCGUGCCUAAUACAUGCAAGUCGAGCGAACGGACGAGAAGCUUGCUUCUCUGAUGUUAGCGGCGGACGGGUGAGUAACACGUGGAUAACCUACCUAUAAGACUGGGAUAACUUCGGGAAACCGGAGCUAAUACCGGAUAAAAUUUUGAACCGCAUGGUUCAAAAGUGAAAGACGGUCUUGCUGUCACUUAUAGAUGGAUCCGCGCUGCAUUAGCUAGUUGGUAAGGUAACGGCUUACCAAGGCAACGAUGCAUAGCCGACCUGAGAGGGUGAUCGGCCACACUGGAACUGAGACACGGUCCAGACUCCUACGGGAGGCAGCAGUAGGGAAUCUUCCGCAAUGGGCGAAAGCCUGACGGAGCAACGCCGCGUGAGUGAUGAAGGUCUUCGGAUCGUAAAACUCUGUUAUUAGGGAAGAACAUAUGUGUAAGUAACUGUGCACAUCUUGACGGUACCUAAUCAGAAAGCCACGGCUAACUACGUG
rnacentral:rRNA from 1 species